GGGUUGUGAGGUUAAGCGACUAAGCGUACACGGUGGAUGCCCUGGCAGUCAGAGGCGAUGAAGGACGUGCUAAUCUGCGAUAAGCGUCGGUAAGGUGAUAUGAACCGUUAUAACCGGCGAUUUCCGAAUGGGGAAACCCAGUGUGAUUCGUCACACUAUCAUUAACUGAAUCCAUAGGUUAAUGAGGCGAACCGGGGGAACUGAAACAUCUAAGUACCCCGAGGAAAAGAAAUCAACCGAGAUUCCCCCAGUAGCGGCGAGCGAACGGGGAGCAGCCCAGAGCCUGAAUCAGUGUGUGUGUUAGUGGAAGCGUCUGGAAAGGCGUGCGAUACAGGGUGACAGCCCCGUACACAAAAAUGCACAUAUUGUGAGCUCGAUGAGUAGGGCGGGACACGUGGUAUCCUGUCUGAAUAUGGGGGGACCAUCCUCCAAGGCUAAAUACUCCUGACUGACCGAUAGUGAACCAGUACCGUGAGGGAAAGGCGAAAAGAACCCCGGCGAGGGGAGUGAAAAAGAACCUGAAACCGUGUACGUACAAGCAGUGGGAGCACGCUUAGGCGUGUGACUGCGUACCUUUUGUAUAAUGGGUCAGCGACUUAUAUUCUGUAGCAAGGUUAACCGAAUAGGGGAGCCGAAGGGAAACCGAGUCUUAACUGGGCGUUAAGUUGCAGGGUAUAGACCCGAAACCCGGUGAUCUAGCCAUGGGCAGGUUGAAGGUUGGGUAACACUAACUGGAGGACCGAACCGACUAAUGUUGAAAAAUUAGCGGAUGACUUGUGGCUGGGGGUGAAAGGCCAAUCAAACCGGGAGAUAGCUGGUUCUCCCCGAAAGCUAUUUAGGUAGCGCCUCGUGAAUUCAUCUCCGGGGGUAGAGCACUGUUUCGGCAAGGGGGUCAUCCCGACUUACCAACCCGAUGCAAACUGCGAAUA
rnacentral:rRNA from 1 species